rnacentral:rRNA from 1 species
UACGGGGGGGGCAAGCGUUGUUCGGAAUUACUGGGCGUAAAGGGCUCGUAGGCGGCCAACUAAGUCAGACGUGAAAUCCCUCGGCUUAACCGGGGAACUGCAUCUGAUACUGGAUGGCUUGAGUUUGGGAGAGGGAUGCGGAAUUCCAGGUGUAGCGGUGAAAUGCGUAGAUAUCUGGAGGAACACCGGUGGCGAAGGCGGCAUCCUGGCCCGCUACUGACACUCAGACACGACAGCAUGGGGAGCGAACGGG